AGGACGAACGCUGGCGGCGUGCUUAACACAUGCAAGUCGAGCGAGGCCCCUUCCUUCGGGAGGGGAGCCCUAGCGGCGAACGGGUGAGUAACACGUGGGCAAUCUGCCCCUAGCACUGGGAUAACUCCGGGAAACCGGGGCUAAUACCGGAUAUGACCUCCGAGGGCAUCCUCUGGAGGUGGAAAGGAUUCUGGCUAGGGAUGAGCCCGCGGCCUAUCAGCUAGUUGGUGGGGUAAUGGCCCACUAAGGCGACG
rnacentral:rRNA from 1 species